GAAAGAGGCCCAGGGCACUAAGAACUGCUAAUUCUUACCACCACGGUUAAAUUCCGUGGCUCAUUCA
rnacentral:tRNA from 1 species